GAUGACAAAGCCAAACCUAUCGUGAGGUAGGGACGGAAAGCUCCAGGUCUCGACCGAGAUGGCUGAGCUGCCUCUU
rnacentral:ncRNA from 1 species